AUGAAAAUGUUGCAAGCGAUAGAUUCACAUACAUCCGGGAAAAAACGGUCAUAUUGAUUGUGUUCUUUUGUCUUGAAAAUUUUCAAUUUUAAGCUUAUCAAUUCACCUAUUUAUGUAUUUAUUUAAUUUAAUAUUUUUUCGCAUGUUGUUUUUUAAAAUAAUCCUGUUUUUACCUUUAUUUUUUGUAUUACUUUGUCGUUCUUAAGAGAGAGGUUAAUGUCUCGGACGGUCCUUGAACGUCUCAGGUCACCUGCUGGACUGUCCAGGCGGGGAAGGUUCGGAUCGGAUUCGUUCUCAGUUGGACUUUAGUUCUUCUCUGUCCAACUUACCCCGAACUUCCUGAGUCCAAAUGAAGGUGUGGAGAAGAAUUCUGCUCAGCUGUGCUGCACAUGCACCAAACCCCUCAUCUGAUCCAGCUAGCGUGCCUUGUUCUGGUUCUGGAGAAGAGAAGAUGGUAUCUUCCCAUUGACUGCAGUCAAAUGAGCCAGCGUUCACAUUUUGUGGUCAAAUCAGCAUCACUGGAUUGUUUGUAUGGAACGGGGAAACAGCGACACCAUGUGGCAGACCUACUGCAGAUCCUUGUCUGGAUCAGCGUCUCCUCCCCUGUGUGUGACCACCAGCAUAUGGGGGUUGGUUGAAGCAGCUGUGGGGGUUGUAAAGGGUCAAAGGUCUUCCCGGUGGGGGUGUUGACUCUCCCUUUUGUUCUGGCGCUUCCAGCAAACCGGUCGCGCUCGUAUGACGUGACAAAACCCCCCUUCUUCUCCCAGCAUGCCUGAAAAACCUUACACCAACUCAGAAUUAAAUAUAACUUUAAUUUGAUAGAAGCAUUUGAGUCCAACCUUGAAUGGAGAGGGUUAACCUGAGAUCAUACUCAUUCAGGGGAGCAACAGAUGAUCCUUUUGGGUGUUUUGUCAACAUUGUUAGAUCCUUUUAAAGUCCACGGGUUUGUCUGAGGUCACACCUCGUGUCUGAGAUGAGUGACAGAGGGAAGGAUUUAAAAAGCACUGGUAGACUCACCCUCAUCGCACUAGUUCUCUAGUGCAUAUACUAAAAUUGGAACGAUACAGAGAAGAUUAGCAUGGCCCCUGCGCAAGGAUGACACGCAAAUUCGUGAAGCGUUCCUCAUUUUGACUUUUGAAAAUCUAAUUAACCCAUCCCUGUCUUUAUUUAAAAAAAUACUUUAUAAAGCGAAAUAAAAAAAACAACAUCUAAUAAAUGAGAUAAGCAAACAAGGAAACCAGUUAGAAGUCUCAAAUGUUUUUUGUAAAGCAUUUAAAAAAAAAAA